UUUUUUUUUUUGAUAAACCUGUGUUUGCAACUGUUCGAUAUCCAUGAGAGCAGAGAAUUUUUGUAAAAAAAAAAAAAAAAGUAACACUAUCAAAAGGUUAAACAAAAAAGACACAGCCGCCUUUCAUAUUUACCAAGGGUGCCAAUAUUAGUGGACGACACUGUAAAUUAGACGGACGGAUGGAUGGAUAGAAAGAUAGAUAAGCAGAAGAUAAUUAUGUAAUGACACUGCAGAUCUAACAACGCUGAUUGGUUUAUUUAUUUAUUUAUUUAUUUAUUUUACUACAUUUAAGGUAACACUUUCUAUGAGGCCCAUGCUUAUGAUGAACUAUUGACCCGUUUAUAAUUUAUAAGCAUGUAUUACUGCUCCAUAAACACACUUAUAACGACACAUAAAGACCUAUACUUCAUUAUAAUAACAGUUUACACUAUUGUUAUAAUUACUUAAAAGUGAUACAAUUUGCUUUUUCAAUGCCCAUGCUCAUAAUGCAUUAUACACCAAUUUAUAAGUAUUAGUCAGUCUUAUGGUUCCAUUAAUGUAUUUAUAAAAAUACAGGCUGCAUUUUUAUAAUGUUAUAUUAUAGUUGUAAUGACUUAUUGGUAAAGCAGAUUUAUUUCUAGGCCCAAUUAGUGAACUAUUUUAUAUUGUUGUUGACGGUUACGUCGUGCUGCCUUAUAAACACUUAUUGUGAGUUAUAAUACAAUUACUAACCUUUAUCAGUGCAUAAUCGAUGGCUUAAAGUAAAGUGAAAGCAUAGGAUGCAGUUUCCAUAAUGGAAAUUGAAUGCGGUUGGCAUGGAGGCGAUCAGCCUGUGGCACUGCUGAGGUGUUCUGGAAGCCCGGGUUGCUUUGAUGGCGGUCUUCAGCUCGUCUGUAUUGUCGGGUCUGGUGUCUCUCGUAGAUUCUCUAUGGGGUUCGGGUCAGGCGGGUCGGCUGGACGAUCGAGCACAGUAAUACCACGGUCACAAACCAGUUACUAGAAGUUUUGGCGCCGUGGGCAGGUGCCGAGUCCUGCUGAAAAGGAAAUCGGCACCUCCAUAAAGCUCGUCAGCAGAUGGAAGCAUGAAGUGCUCUAAAAUCUCCUGGUAGAAUCUCCUCUCGACUUGAGAAAACACAGUGGACCAACACCAGUAGAUGACACGGCACCCCAAAUCAUCACUGACAUCAUGUGAAAAGAUUACUUUGCACCACUGAUCAACGGUCCAGUUCUUUUCCUCCUUAGCCCAGGUAAGACGCUUCUGACGUUGUCUCACAAUUUUAUUAAGAGUGUUACAUUCUGUUAGUGUUUUGAUCGCAAGAUAUUUAAAACAAAAAUACAGAGAACUUUGCUACAGUAGCAUGUAAAUUGAUUGUUUAUCCCAUAAUAGCCACAUGAUUCAAUUAAACUAACAUUCAUGAUGUCUAACCCCACCCCCAAGAACAGUAUUUCCAGGAAUCCCCUUUGUAAAUUCCCAAGGGAUUCCUGGGAAAACUGGACCCCGGGGACAGGGAAGAAAGGCUCUGUAUCAGACAAAAGGAUACCACAAAACAGCAGUGCUGGGAUUUGAAAUCGCAACCAACUGAUUAGUAGCUCAGGUAUUUAACCUACAUUUUAUUAUUAAAAUCUGGCUAAUAAAACGUUCAUAACAAAUGCCGAUGUGUGUUUACAGUAGCAGUGUCCCUCUUCCCGUGCUACAGUGCUUCAUCUCAGACUCCCAAUUGACCAGAGAUGCAGCACUGCACCUUGGGCCUGAGGACUUGACUCUCAUCCUUGAGAAUGUGCACAGUAAACCCAGGCUGAAUACAUGCGAUAUGUUUGAUUUCUCAUUCUUCCUCCUUCCCACAUUGUAGGGCACAGUUUCUCUGUGCUCGUUGAAUUUGUUGGGUUUGUUUUGUUUUUUUUGUGUACUUGUAGGAUAUUAAAAGCUGUGAUGGGCCUCUGAGCUUUGUCAGUUAAAAAGCAGUGACAUAAUAAAAGUUAAAUACUUAUCAGCUCCACAUGCACAACCAAAGUAAACUUGUGAGUUGUAUUUCACUGGACCAUGGGGGGUUGGGGGGGCGGACACCAUAUGUAGGGUCUUCACUUUCCCAGCACUUGGCAUGCAUUGUGUUGAAACAGCGAGGCUCCUUCACCAGCAGUAACAGGAAGC
ensembl:lncRNA